ACUUGCAGAUAUAUGAGUCAGAGCUGAGACUGCAUUCCUUUUGUCACAGGCUCUCUUGGGAGUCGUAGAUUCCGGGAUGUGGCUAUUUUUCACAGCUCUGGGAAACUGGGGGACAGAUUACUAAACGGAUGAAUCACGUCCAAGAGAAAUACUUUUGUGUCAUCAGGUUUGAUCCUGGUCAACAGAAUGAGGUAGUGGGUCUGACUGUGCUAGAAAUCCUGAUUUGAACCGGGAAUGAACCAUGUUCGGGGUUUGUGUUUCAAGGAAAGGGCGGAGGAGAUCGUUGGCAGGGUGGAAUGUGGAUGGAAUGACAGUUGGGGGAUGACGGCUGGGGAAUUUUGCCAGUUGACAGUUGGAAGAGAGAGAGAGAGAGAUAAGAGGGUGGAGAUUAGAGGAGGGGGAGCUACUAAUUUGGGAACGCCUUCUUCCAAAGUCAGUGGGACUUGAGACUUCCUCUCCAUGGUAUGCUAACAGCAGUGAGGAACCUUUUCCAGAACAUCAGGAGAAACUUCUUGAUGCAGGAGCAAGUAAAACCGCACCAAUCACCUCAAGCUGGAAGUACCAGUAAAGAGGUCUUCACCCUCCAGCGAAACCAAGUGAGCAGUUUGGAGACUUGCAGUGGGAACUUGAAGGGUUUGCUAAAUUGGAUUCCUCCCAUUAAAAGUGUUCAUAACUGGAAGUGGAGUUAUGUAUUUUUCAUCUGAAAAUACUGAACGCUGCCCCCGCUGCAGCCGGGUAGAACAUGGGUGAAGUGUUCCCUAAGCACCCAUGAACCUGUCAUUAAAGGAGUCGUGAGUUUUCCAGUUGGGGGAUUACAUGUUCCUUAAUGUUACAGGAUGUAUCACUUGCAGAGAAUUU